rnacentral:rRNA from 1 species
UACGUAGGGCGCGAGCGUUGUCCGGAAUUAUUGGGCGUAAAGAGCUCGUAGGCGGCCUGUUACGUCUGCUGUGAAAUCCCGGGGCUUAACCCCGGGCGUGCAGUGGAUACGGGCAGGCUGGAGGCAGGCAGGGGAGAACGGAAUUCCCGGUGUAGCGGUGAAAUGCGUAGAUAUCAGGAGGAACACCGGUGGUGUAGACGGCUAUCUGGACCGUAACUGACGCUGAGGCACGAAAGCGUGGGUAGCAAACAGG